rnacentral:rRNA from 1 species
UACGGGGGAUGCAAGCGUUAUCCGGAUUUAUUGGGUUUAAAGGGUGCGUAGGCUGUGAGGUAAGUCAGCGGUGAAAUGCCCCCGCUCAACGGGGUGAAGUGCCAUUGAUACUGCCUUGCUGGAAUGCGGAUGCCGUGGGAGGAAUGUGUGGUGUAGCGGUGAAAUGCAUAGAUAUCACACAGAACACCGAAUGCGAAGGCAUCUCACGAAUCCGCGAUUGACGCUGAUGCACGAAAGCGUGGGUAUCAAACAGG